AGGCUUAACACAUGCAAGUCGAGCGCACUCCUUUGGAGUGAGCGGCAAACGGGUGAGUAACGCGUGGGAAUCUACCCAUCUCUACGGAAUAACACAGAGAAAUUUGUGCUAAUACCGUAUACGUCCCUUCGGGGAGAAAGAUUUAUCGGAGAUAGAUGAGCCCGCGUUGGAUUAGCUAGUUGGUGAGGUAACGGCUCACCAAGGCGACGAUCCAUAGCUGGUCUGAGAGGAUGAUCAGCCACACUGGGACUGAGACACGGCCCAGACUCCUACGGGAGGCAGCAGUGGGGAAUAUUGGACAAUGGGGGCAACCCUGAUCCAGCCAUGCCGCGUGAGUGAUGAAGGCCCUAGGGUUGUAAAGCUCUUUCG
rnacentral:rRNA from 1 species